rnacentral:lncRNA from 1 species
GGUUCCGAAGAAGCCCACAUGAUCUUCUAGCAGAGAGCCCUGGCCCAUUAAGAGUUAACCGGCCACUACCUCUGGGCCCCAGAUGCUCUGGUGACUCAUCAUAACACGUGGCUGCCAUUAGAUUAGAGCUGUCCCUUUAGAAAGGCAAGGGACAGGAGGAGGGAUUGGCCCUGAGCUCCAGGAUGUCAGAAGAGGAAGCAAAAAAGAGCAGCCUGCAAAUGCAGCCAUGGUGGGAAGGACUUGGAUCAGAUCCCAGAGGAGCCAGGCAACUUGAGUUUAGGAAUAGGGAGAAAUGUCUGGGGGAUUGCUGCUCUCAUCAAGAUAACUGCCUGGAAAGACUGUGAGUUGUUUGUUGUUCUUUUUAAAAAUAUUUUUAUGUGUAUUAGAGUUUUGCCUGCAGCUAUGCCAGAGUGAAAGUGACACAUCCCCUGGAGCUGGAGUUACAGACAUUGUGAGGCGCCAUGUAGGUGCUGGGAAUUGAACCUCUGUCCUCUGGAAGAGCAGCCAAUGCUCUUGACUGCUGAGCUAUUUCCCAGGAUGUCCUUAUGCUGCUCUGUGUGAGCAGAGGCCAGGCACUGCUAUGUGGAAACUAUCCCAACUUUGGUAGCCUCACAUAUGGGCUUGAAAAGACGAUGAUGGGAACCUGACCACAACAGCAUGUACCAGCAACCAUUAUUUAAGGAACCCAGACGAGGUGAGCAGCCCUAACUCCUGUGGGUGACACUGUGUAUGACACGGGGAAGGAGCAGGAAGAGAUGCCUGUACGUGACUCUCGUGGACAUCUCUCAAGGUACGGUAAAGUCUGAUCGUCACUGUGUUUCUGCCUAUGGAUGGCUGACAGUGAACACUGGCUUCAGGGAGGUCCCAGCUCCCUCUGAGGGAGUCAGCUUAGCAAUGGCUGACUCAUGUCAAAGGCCACU